rnacentral:rRNA from 1 species
UGGGGAAUAUUGGACAAUGGGCGCAAGCCUGAUCCAGCCAUGCCGCGUGAGUGAUGAAGGCCCUAGGGUUGUAAAGCUCUUUCACCGGUGAAGAUAAUGACGGUAACCGGAGAAGAAGCCCCGGCUAACUUUGUGCCAGCAGCCGCGGUAAUACGAAGGGGGCUAGCGUUGUUCGGAUUUACUGGGCGUAAAGCGCACGUAGGCGGACUAUUAAGUCAGGGGUGAAAUCCCGGGGCUCAACCCCGGAACUGCCUUUGAUACUGGUAGUCUUGAGUUCGAGAGAGGUGGGUGGAAUUCCGAGUGUAGGGGUGAAAUUCGUAGAUAUUCGGAGGAACACCAGUGGCGAAGGCGGCUCACUGGCUCGAUACUGACGCUGAGGUGCGAAAGCGUGGGGAGCAAACAGG